rnacentral:rRNA from 1 species
GACGAACCGAGCGAACGUUGUUCGGAAUCACUGGGCUUAAAGGGCGCGUAGGCGGGUGCUCAAGUCCGUGGUGAAAUCCUCCGGCUCAACCGGAGAACUGCCUCGGAUACUGGGCGUCUCGAGUGUGGUAGGGGUAUGCGGAACUAUCGGUGGAGCGGUGAAAUGCGUUGAUAUCGAUAGGAACUCCGGUGGCGAAGGCGGCAUACUGGACCACCACUGACGCUGAUGCGCGAAAGCCGGGGGAGCAAACGGG